UAAUUAUUUAUUUAUUUUUUAUUUUAAAAAAAUCGAAAUGAAGGGCGUCGGAAAGGUUUUCACGGUGACGGUUUUUGUUACGUUGUUGUGUUUGAUUUUUCCGAUUAUCGAUGCUCAGGGACCUGCUUCUGCUCCUUCCCCUUCAAGUGACGGGGCAACAAUUGAUCAAGGAGUGGCUUAUGUACUCAUGGUGGUUGCUUUGGCCUUGACCUACAUCAUUCACUAGCUCUUUAUUUUUUUUAUUUUUUAUUUUAUUUUAUCCUACAAAAAAUUUAUUGGGCUUGUUUUGACUUUUUUAAGUCAAACUUAAUUCUUUGUAAUGUAAAGAUUCUAUUUCUUUGGUUCAAUUCUGAAACGUUAAAUCAAAUGGAUUCAAUUUGUCC